GGAAGACCUGCCAGUGAGACAAGGAGGCGGGAUCUUCCAGGUGCCUUUCUGCAAGUUCACUAUGGCAGUGCAGACUUGAAUGGCUCUCUGUGUCCUGCUCUGAACUCAGGUGUUGGGUGCUGUAAGGGGACCUCAGCAAAGUUCUGAAGUUGAGACACAGGGUCACUGCCCACAAUUCAGAGGAGCAGGGUGUGUGGACCACCUGGGGAUCUCCAUUCCCACACACAGCAUCCUCUCCCACUGAGGCCAGACAUGGCAGUCCAUUAAGGGAACAGAUUCCAAAGAUAGGCAGCAGCUUUAUGGCCAGUCAGUGCUACAGUUAUUGGAGGACCCUCAUGAAAACUGAGCUGCACAUCUGCUACCUACAUGUCAGGGGCCUUAGUCCAGCCUGUGUAUCCUAUUUGUAUUGUCAGAAGAUGACCUCAGAACUCCUGAUCUUCAUGUAAUGGGUAGUUGUUGAUCCCAAUGCAUAUGCUAGAAAUUGACCACCAUUAUGAGGAAGACCAGCAAGAGUCUUCCACUGUUGAGCUAUUUCUCCUGCCCUAUGUUGCUUAUUUAUGAUCAAUAUUUGUAUUACUCCUAUUUUCACCUGUCCAUUUGUAACUGUUUAAGCAUGCAUUCCCUUUUAGUAAAAUGUUAUUAAUGUUGUAGUUUAAACUGGUAUACUUCAUGUUUCUGGAAGCUGAAUACAGGACUGCAGUUUAUUUAUAAUUGUUUGUAUUAGCUUCAGCAAAGAACUGUGAGUUCUAUCACUUUUCUUUCCUUGGUUGAUAUUUGCAGUGGAAUGAGGAUCUUAAUAUAUAACUUUUCCUGUUGGAACUAGUUGUAUAGACCACACUGGCAUCCAGCUCAAUGACAUACACCUGUCUGUGACUCUAGGAUUAAAGACAUGAUCAAAUACACUCAGUUUGUGUAUUAAUUUUGUAGUUAGUAGUUGUUCAUACAAUUUCUUAUAUGUGUGCUUGAUACUGUUGAUCUGUUUCCCCCUGCAUC
rnacentral:lncRNA from 1 species